UACAGAGGGUGCGAGCGUUGUCCGGAAUCACUGGGCGUAAAGGGUGCGUAGGCGGCGGAGCAAGUCUGAUGUGAAAUCCCGGGGCUCAACCCCGGAACUGCAUUGGAUACUGCUUUGCUAGAGUACUGGAGAGGGAACUGGAAUUUACGGUGUAGCAGUGAAAUGCGUAGAGAUCGUAAGGAAGGCCAGUGGCGAAGGCGAGUUCCUGGACAGUUACUGACGCUGAGGCACGAAGGCCAGGGGAGCAAACGGG
rnacentral:rRNA from 1 species